GGCCUGAUGGUCUAGUAGUAUGAUACCUGCUUCGGGUGUACUCCCGCGUAAUAAUGAUUACGCAUUUAAUUAUGCAGGUGGUCCCGGGUUCAAUUCCCGGUCAGGCCC